rnacentral:sRNA from 1 species
GCUGGGCGUGGUGGCGCACGUCUGUAAUCCCAGAGGCUUGGGAGGCUGAGGCAGGAGGAUUGUGAGAGUUCAAAGUCAAUCUCAGCCACUUAGCAACUCAGUGAGACCCUGUCUCUA